rnacentral:rRNA from 1 species
AUGGCGCACGUCCCCGCCUCCGUGGAGGACGCGCGGCUUAUUAUUGAUUCACUACGUGAAGAUCCCCUAUAUGGUCAACAACUGCCGCCGGUGUCUGAUAGUAUAAAUGAAAAUGCAUGCCAGCUCUGCAAACAGGAAAAACUCACUUUUGAACCCCCACCAAUGUAUUGCUUCCCUUGUGGUGCUCGGAUAAGGCGAAAUGGACCAUACUAUGCUUAUGAUACUCGUGAUACCCACCACUCUGUCUGCAUUCCAUGUUACAAUAAGUCCCGUGGUCACACCAUUGAGGUUGAAGGACAGAUGUUUCCGAAGGCCCGAUUUCAGAAAAAAAGAAAUGAUGAGGAAACUGAAGAAUGUUGGGUUAAUUGUGAAAGAUGUAAUUGCUGGCAGCAUCAGAUAUGUGCUCUGUUUAAUGACAUAAACUAUGAUGUAAAACAAGCAUAUACUUGCCUGUAUUGCUAUAUUGAGGAAGUGAAGCGUGGGCUGCACGUGCCUUCACCACAGAGUGCUGUUCUUGGGGCAAGUGAUCUGCCAAGAACUGCUCUUAGCGAUCAUAUUGAAGAGCGGCUUUUUAAACGGCUUAAGCUGGAGAGACAGGCUCGUGCAGUUCAGUCAGGACGUAGUUUUGAUGAGGUUGCUGGAGCAGAUGGUCUUGUGGUCAGAGUUGUUUCAUCAGUGGAUAAGAAGGUUGGAGUUAAACCACGUUUUUUGGAAACUUUUCAAGAAGAUAAUUACCCGACGGAAUUCCCUUACAAGUCCAAGGCUGUUCUUUUGUUCCAGAAAAUAGAUGGUGUAGAAGUCUGCUUAUUUGGAAUGUAUGUUCAAGAAUUUGGUGCUGAAUGCGCUUUCCCGAACCAACGUCGUGUUUACUUGUCAUACCUGGAUUCUGUGAAAUACUUAAGACCUGGGAUUAAAGCAGCCACUGGAGAGGCCUUGUGUACAUUCGUCUACCAUGAAAUUCUGAUAGGAUAUCUUGAAUACUGCAAGCAGCGUGGAUUCACAAGCUGUUAUAUAUGGGCUCGCCCACCUCUGGAAGGUGAUAAUAUUUUUUAUUGCAAUCCUACGAUUCAGACGACUCGAACAUCUGACAAACUCCGGGAGUGGUGCUUAGCCAUGAUUCGAAAAGCUACUAAGGAGGAGAUUGUUGUUGAGCUUACAAAUCUGUAUGACCAUUUCUUCAUUACUACGGGAGAGUGCAAGGCUAAAGUUACUGCUUCUCGUUUGCCUUACUUCGAUGGAGAUUACUGGCCAGGAGUUGCCGAAGAUAUGGUCAAUCAACUGCAUCAAGAAGAAGAUGACCAAAAGCUUCAGAAAAAGGGUAAUGCAAAGAAAAUUAUUAGAAAAAGAGCUCUUGAAGCUGCUGGCCACACUGAUCUAAGUGGGAACGCUUCCGAGGAUGAUAUGCUGAUGCAAAAGCUUGGGGAAACCAUUUAUCCAAUGAAGGAGGAUUUCAUUAUGGUCCAUUUGCAGUAUUCUUGUAGCAACUGUCGUAGCUUUAUGUCGUCUGGAAAACGUUGGGCUUGUCAUCAAUGCAGAAGUUUUUACAUCUGUGACAAGUGCUACAGCGCAGAACAAGAGCUUGAAGAGAGGGAGAGGCAUCCGAGCAAUAGUAGAGAAACUCAUGAGCUCCAUCCGGUUGACAUUGUGGGUGUGCCUGAAGAGACAAAGGACGGAGACGGUAUCAUAGAAAGCAAGUUUUUCGACACCAGGCACGCGUUUCUCAGUCUUUGUCAAGAGAACCAUUACCAAUUUGACACCCUUCGCCGUGCCAAGCAUUCGUCGAUGAUGGUGUUGUACCGCCUACAUAAUCCCACUGUAGUCUAA